rnacentral:rRNA from 1 species
AACGAACGCUGGCGGCAUGCUUAACACAUGCAAGUCGAACGAGACCUUCGGGUUUAGGGGCGCCCGGGUGCGUAACCCGUGGGGACCUGCCCUUAUGUUCGGCAUAACUCUCCGAAAGGGGUGCUAAUAACGGAUGAUGUUUCCGGACCAAAGAUUUAUCGCCUUUGGGUGGGCCGGCGUUGGAUGGGGUAGGUGGUAGGGUAAAAGCCUACCAAGGCGACGAGCCAUAGCUGGUCUGAGAGGAUGAUCAGCCACACUGGGACUGAGACACGGCCCAGACUCGUAGGGGAGGCAGCAGUGGGGGAUAUUGGACAAGGGGCGAAAGCCUGAUCCAGCAAUGCCGCGUGAGUGAUGAAGGCCUUAGGGUUGUAAAGCUCUUUUACCCGGGAUGAUAAUGACAGUACCGGGAGAAUAAGCUCCGGCUAACUCCGUG